rnacentral:tRNA from 1 species
GGAGGAAUACCCAAGUCCGGCUGAAGGGAUCGGUCUUGAAAACCGACAGGGGUGUCAAAACCCGCGGGGGUUCGAAUCCCUCUUCCUCCGCCA